rnacentral:rRNA from 1 species
UACGUAGGGGGCAAGCGUUGUCCGGAUUUAUUGGGCGUAAAGAGCGUGUAGGCGGUUUGGUAGGUCCGCUGUGAAAACUCGAGGCUCAACCUCGAGACGCCGGUGGAAACCAUCAGGCUAGAGUCCGGAAGAGGAGAGUGGAAUUCCUGGUGUAGCGGUGAAAUGCGCAGAUAUCGGGAGGAACACCGGUGGCGAAGGCGGUUCUCUGGGCCUUACCUGACGCUGAGGAGCGAAAGCGUGGGGAGCGAACAGG